CCUGGGCCGUGCGGGUCGGCCUCGAGGUCGCCACCCUACCACAGUCCUUUAACCUCCCUCGCCCGCCACCCAGGUUCUUGGGACGCCCACCUGGCGGCAGAGGGGGCGCGAGGCCGAGGACGGGGACUUGGGGUCGUCAAAGCAUGUGCGAAAAAUAAAACAUGAGCAGGAACUUUGUGUCUGAUCCACCGGAUCCGGGGCUGCACGGUGGAGAGCCAAGGUUUUGAGAAGUGCUUGGCCACAUCCGUUCCCCUCAGUGUUUACAGAGGCCCAGCACCGCGGCCAUCCUCAGCGUACCGCUUUUUAAGGGAAAAGGAAAUGCAGGGAGGGCUUGAACAGGCCUCGGCCUCGUGGUGCAAUGCGGGGAGGAACUGAGGAGAACAUUGGGUUUCACGUUUGCAGUGGUGGGUGUAAUGAUACUUCUACUCCCGGCCUUUUACGGCACCUUUGUAUCCGAACAUCUGCAAAGCUUGUUUUACGGAUACAAAUUUCCGGUGUUUCCCUGAGCCUGCCAGAUAUUCAAAGUAAAAAGUUGAACCUUAGGUUUCCUGUCUUGUCUUGCUGUUUACAAACUCUCUCUCUCUCUGUCUCUCUCUCUCUGAGGUAGGCUUACUGUUACACCUUCCAGCUUCUGCAAAAUAUUUAAAAACUAGAAUUUUAAAACCUGAUUUUUGGGAAAACUAACGUUUAGGAUUUUUUUCCUCCUUCGGUCAAGAUAAUAUUAAACGGUAUUCUGGUAUUUAGAUGGUGAGAAGAAUAAAGGAUGAAAUGAGAAUUUAAAGCCUUUAAAGUACUAGAAAAUAUGAUGGCUUAUUUUGUGACAUACUGUAAUUUAUUCUUUUUGUCCCUCAGUUUCCCCAUAAUAAAAAGGCUAAUAAUACUGUAGCCUACUUUGCCUUUCAGAGGUGAUGUGGGGCACUGGUAAAUAACAUGUUUAGGAAGUGCUCCUACUUGCUUGGAAUAAAAUCAAAGGACAUAUAGAUGAUCCUGAGUUCUUAUCAGUUCCCAAGUUCAACAAAUUAAAUAAUGUUUUGAUUAAGAAAUGAUCUCAGAAGCUGCUUUCAGCUCUUGGCUUCAGUUCUUUUUGCAUAUUUAUUCAUGUUAAGAAUGUAUAUAUACAUAUAAGUUCUUAUUUUUUAGUGCUAGAGAUUGAUUCCAGUGCCUUCACAUUGAACUACAUCUCUAGCCCUUCUUUUAUUUUUGAGACGGGAUCAGGUGUGCCAGAUAAGUUUUCUAGAGAACUCUGUCCCAGUAAAAAGAACAUUUUAGUGUCAUUCAGGUACCUCCAUAAACAGGUCUUGAAAUGUCUGUACAGAGUGAAUUUUUAAUGACUUCAUCCCUUACUCCUAAUACAACCUUUAUCCAUCUCUCUUUGAACCAAGCUGUAUUUUCAUGCUUAGUACCAUUGCCUGAAUUUCAUUUUUCAAUUAAUGCUUUACUAUCCAUUCUCUACUUUAAAGUCCUCAUUUUUCAAUGUCCUCUGCCAUGAACUUGUUCAUGAUUUUUUCUUCAGGAACAACUCAUAAUUUUCCUUGGGUCUCCAUAAUUUGUUACUUAAAUUUCUGUACCAAUAUCAUUCUGCUUACACUCAUGUCUAAUUUACCGAGUGGUAGGUAGAAUGUUAAGAGGCCAGUGAUGGUGUAUUAGAUAUCUCUGUGUUUUACUAGUAUCUAGCCCAGUUAAAAAAUAUAGUCAUUCUCUUAAAUAUCAUACAUAAAAAUUUCAGCCAUAUAGCAGUGGAAUUCUCUUAGCAAAAUAUCCCUUUCUUGCUUCCUUACUUUGGGGGUCAUCAUCCUGAAAAUUUCACUGAGUUUUUAUACAUUAAUGCCUUCAGGGGUUGUUGAGAUAGAUGGAACUGCUCUCUGUUCUCUGAAAUGUCCCUGGAUUAUUGUGUCUUAAAUUUCAUUUUGUGUGCUUACUAGAACCAGUUGCCUUAACAUUCAUUAACAUUACUUUUUGCUGCUUUCAUUCUUUUUACCUGAAAAGGUCCUCUUCCCAUAUCAAUAGGCCCUGGAUUGACAACCUAAUUUGAUUUGGUACACCUAAUGUAUGCUACACAUAGGUUGCUACAUCCUGAUAAUUCAAAAAGCUAUUCCUCUUUGAUACUGUGGAUACUGAGGUGUAGAGAAGUUAGCUCAUUGGCCAUUGAUCACAUAGCUCAGAGGUGAUAGGUUGGGAACUCUAAUCCAUGUUUCAUUUGAGUACUGUGAUAGGUGGUUGAAUUGUGCCUAAGGGAGGGAGGGCACUGGGUCCUGAGGAGCAUUGCCCUCAGGGGGCAAAUUAGGCAUCAUUUUUUGGUGUUUGUAAGGCUUGGGACUAACAACUAGCAUUUGCUUAGUGGGGCCUUGGAUAGUUUACUUUUUGUAAUGUGUGGAACAGUCCUAAAUGAAGAAUGUGCUCAUGUUCUUCAUGACUUAGGAAUAUCCUAUAUGACAUUCUUGUAAUUAUGUGAACCUGGAACCUCCAUUUUACAUAUAUAAAAGAACAUGGUUUUCACCAAGGUUGAAUUUUUCUGUGUUUCCAUGUGCCAUUAUUGGGUAAAUUAAAGGGAGAUUUGUUCAGUUCGCAACUUGACCAAGCUUUGUAUUCAGUUAUCAUCUUCAGCUACUAAUUACUGUAUUAAUUUUACUCCUGCAUUCACCUACUGAAAAAUGCUAUCUUAUUAAAAUUUUCAUUUCUCUUUUGCGUUUAUAUUUUAGAUGGAUUUAUUUGAAAACUGGUAGGAAGACUUACUCAUUUCAGAGUAGUAAGCUGAAGCUGGAAAGUAUUUUAUGAAAGGAACACAUUGAGGAUGAUGUGGUUGAGAUCUGUUGGUCUAAAGCAAAAGUAACUUGAUCUGAGGUGGAGCUUUUCAUGAAAAGUGCCCAGCUUUUAGUGGUGGCUGUUUCUAAUUUCUAUUACUGGACUGUGCCUCAGAUAGUUGAGAUGUGCUAAUAGGUGGCCAUUCCAGCUGUUCCACUGUGUAAGGUAAAGCUCUAGGGACAAUGGGAGAAAAGGAAAUACAGUACCUUCUUCUGCCCGGAAGCUUUUAAAGUAUGGUUUUGGCAUUGUGUGGAUUGUAUCAUAGGAGACAGAAAAAAUUUUCUUCUCAAGUACCGAAUAUAGUUUUGUUGCUUGCAUUACAUCAUUAGCGUUCAUGUGUUGGUCUAUGGAAUGCUUUCUUCCUUGUGUUUUGUAAAACCUUUUCUUGUCUGGGUAUGGAAUUUAAUCAUGGUGGGACCCAGAAUUUAGAGGAGAGAACAUUUUCUCAGAGAGUUACUUGUACUACUAGUAAUGUGAUAUUUGGCAUGCCUCUGUAUAUUUCUUGGUAAAUGGGUAUGAUCAUGGUAGACUAGAUGUAAAGGGGUUUAAACCUUAAGGAUAAUUAAAAGAAAUGCUUUCCCUUCUAAGUCUUCACUUUCUUGGCCUAGUUGAUUUCCUGAGUAUAUAUCUGCAUGUUAAAGGAGUUCAUUUAUUAGCAUAUCAACAGAAUGGGAAAGUACCUAGAAGGGCAAGGUAUCCAGAGCAGAAUUACAGGGUAUGGAGAUAGUGUCUAAUCAUGUAAUUAUUAAUGAGGAUUCGAAUGAAACUGAAUACUAGGUCACCUUCCCAUGCCUAAGGAGAAAGUAUUUUUACUGGCUUGGAAAUAUUUUUAUUUCUAGAAGGCUAAAGUUACUGAGUCUACUUUUAAUAAUAACUUAGAAAAUACAGUAGUAAUGAAAACUUGUUCUUUUUCCAUCUGCUGAUAGAUGAGUAUCUCUUCUCUCAGGCUAUCUCCUAAUGGUGUUAGUUACCACAGAGAUGAAUUUUGGCACCUGACAUUGAAAUUGAAUUAUAAGAAGUGAUGUUGAAAAUGAAAUAACAUUGCCAUAAAAUAGCAAGAUUACAUUCUGAAUGCAGUAUUCACUAUGGGUAUUGAUGAAAAACUAGUUACUAAGUGGGGCGCAUUGGUACAAGCCUAUAAUUCUAGCUAUUUGAGAAGCUAAGGCAGGAGGAUUGCAAGUUUGAGGCCAGACUAGACAAUUUAGUGAGACCCUGUCUCAAUAAAAGGGGGGCCCGGAGAUUUAGCUCAAUGGUUCUGCCGCCUGCCUCCCAAAGUGCAAGGUCCCAAGUUCCAUCUCCAGUACCAAAAAAUAAAAAAAUAAAAAGGGAUGGGGACUAAAGGUAACAUUAAGAAAAAUAUACUUUUGUUUUGUUUUUGCAGUGCUGAGGAUUGAAUCCAGCAGUGCUUUACUGUUGUAAUAGUUUUCCUGUGACUAGGACACAAUACUGGAGACCCAAACUUUAAAGGAUGAGAGGUUUAAUUUGGCUCAUAAUUUCUGGGGAUUCAAUUCAUGAUAAGCUGGCUCUAAGGCAGAAACAUCGUGGUUGAAGGGUAUGACAAUACAAAGCCUUGCAGUUCUUGGUGGCCAGGAAGCAGAGCAGGGGAACCUGCCAGAUAGAAAGAAUCCAGGGACCAUAUAUAAUAUUUCAGGUCAUGCCUCCAUGACCCAUCCAGACUAAGCCAGAAGUGUGCUUUACUAAUCUCCUAGGUGUUUCUUAAUCCAGUCAAGUUGACUUAUAACGACUAAUGGUCACAAUCACUGAACUAUAUACCCAGCCUGUUUCAUUUUUUGAGACAGGGUCUUACCAAGUUGCCCAGUUAGCCUCAAACCUCUGAUCUUCCUGUCAGCCUCCAUACGCAGUAAGAAAUUGGCAUUGUCUGAGGUGCUCAUAAUUUGAGGUAGUAGCCUCACCUACCACAAUGAAGGAUUUAGACAGAAGAGCUUUUUUCCCUUUAAGGUAAAAAAUAAUUUUGUGUUUUACAGUGUUCAGAGAAGAAUGAGUCAGGAGGAUAGCUGUAAAUUUGAGAUGAACGUGGGCUACAUAAGGAUUCAAGACUGGCCUGGACUACAUAGCAAGAUCCUGUCUCAAGGGAAAAACAAAACAAAAAACGGAAAACUCAGUUCAAGAUGUAUUUGUAUCAUUUAAAAUAUAAUAGAUGAAAUUAUGGGUCCCUAUUUUAAACUGAAGAGACUUGUUGCAUAAGCAUGAUUAAAACCCUGACAACCAUGUUGAAAUGUGAUUGGACAAAAGGUAUGCUCUAGUACUGUCAGAGUGGGUGAGGAAAACCAGCAAGGCUUGCUUUCUUCAUUGUUCUUAGCUUGUUUGUGUGGCAUUUCUCUAGGGUGUGGGGCAAGGUCCCUCUGGAAUGAAGAUGAUUUUAUGAAGUACUAUCCUAGAAGGGUAGGUGAGGGAAUUGCUCUAUGACUAGCUAAAGGCAGAAAGGUGGGGGAAAUAUUAGAGUUUUUAUGACCUGUCUUGGGAAGAGAAAUUUUAGUUUCUGUGGCUUGGGUGGUAUUUAUGAACCAGGUAAUCAUGAACAAAAAUCAAAAUACUUAUGAUAUGACAGCAUCUCUUAUCUACCUAUGUAUCUAGGUACAGGUAUAUCUAUUUGUGGUACCCAAUCCUUUUCAUUUUAUUUUUAGACAGGGCCUGGCUGAAUUGCUCAGACUCUCUUUAAAUCUGUGGUUCUCUCACUUCAGCCUUCUGAGUAGUUGAGAUUACAGGCAUGUGCCACCUUGCCAGCUACAUCUCUCUUGUUCUCUAUCAUUAAAUCCUAACCUUUCUGAAUCUAUGCACCUUUUCAUCUCUACUGCCUACCAAAUUGUGAGCAACCUGCAAAUCUAAUAGCUAUUCCUCUUUCUAGUCUUGAUCAAUUACAGUUUCUUACCUGCAUAGCAGGCAGAGUGGCCCUUUUGGCAAAGAAAGAAGAGGACUCUGCUGAUUAAAACCCCCCUCUGAUGGUUUUCUUUGUACUUUGGAUUAAAUUGUGUCUUAGCCCACAAAGCCAUGUGUGAAUUGGUCCCUGCUUGCCUCUCCAAAAUUCAUCUUAGGAUAUGAGGGCAGUGUGGCUGCAACAUUUGUCAUCCCAUUGAUCCGCCAGGGUUGGCUCAGCUGAUCUGGCUGGCUAGGCGGGAGUCCCUUUUCUCUAUAUGUGUCCCUCCUGGAGCUGCCCAAUAGAGGAAACACCUGUGUUUUUCAGUCACAGGUGUAUGAGUAACUGCUCCCCUGCUAGAACAAAAAAUCUUCUAUCCCUGUCCUCUUGACAUACUAAUCUUCAACCACAUUGACCUUUUUUUUCCUGUUCCUGUAAACAUACUAUCAUACUUUCUGCCUCUAGGGGCUUCACAUUUGCAGCUGUCUUCUGUAGAUUGUCUUCUUAAUGCUAUCUAGAUUUCUGCUUUAUUACCCAGUCUCACUGCUCCCCAUCACUCUUGAGUCAUCUUAUUCCAUCUGUUUAUCUGGAUAGUACUUACUGUUGGCUGCUGUUUUCUUCCUUCAGUUAGAAUGUAAGUUCUGUUAGAGCAAGAAUGUUGUCUGCCCUGUUUCACUGUUAAGGUCCCAGUACUUAUAUGCAUCCUGUGUAACAUCCUUUAGGAUUUUGAGUGGUUAUCUAUAUCCAGAAAAUUAGACAAGGAAGUAAUGACUUUAUAAAUUAUGAUACUGUACUUUAUGUCCAUGGGAUGCUCAUAGCAUUUUGAAUUCUUUUUUUUUUUUUUUUGGUACUGGGAAUCGAACUCAGGACCUUGUGCUUUCAAGGCAGGCAGUGAAACCACUGAGCUAAAUCCCUGGCCUACUCAUAGCAUUUUAUAGGGUACACCUCAACCAAAAUCGGCUAUAAUGGGAUGGCUAAAUCUUGGAAGUAGCCUGUAUGUCCAUUAACAUAAGAACGGGGUAUGGCUCAGUGGCACCAUGCCUGCCAGACAAGCACAAGGUCCUGAGUUCAAGCCCUAGUACUGCAAAAAACAAAAAACCCCUUAAGAGUGGAUAAAGAAAAUGUGGUAUUUAUAUACAAUAGAGCACUACUGUGCCAUAAAGAAGUAUAAACUUGAGGCAUUUGUAGGUAAAUGGAUGGACCUUGAGACCAUAGUGUUAAGUGAAAUAAAUCAGACAAGCUUAAAUAUUGCAUAGUUUCUCUUAUAUGAGAAACCCAAAAUAUAAAUAAAGAGCAAAAUAAAAGAUAAUAAGUAGGGAAAUCUUUUUCAUGUGGGAAGGAAAAUGAGAUGGAGGAGGGUAGGGAAGGCAGGGGAAAAGGAUUAAAAAAUAGAGAAUUGAAGAAAAAAAUGGAAAUACAGCUUUUCCAAAUGGGAAGAGUUGUGCAGGGAACAGGGAAGAUGAUGGGAAGGGGACAAAAAAGAAUUAAAAUGUGUUAUGUAUGUGUACAAAUUUCCCACAAUAAAUGUAGCCACUAUGUACUGCAAAUGUACUAAUAAAAAUACAUAAUAAAAAUAAAUAAAACCAAAACAUCACCUAUAGUGCAAUGACCAUUUUAAGCAUGUCAUGCAAAUCAGGAAAGGGAAGAGAGUGUCUAGGAGACACAAGUAUGUGGAUAGAUGAUUGAGUUAGAUACUUCUGGUACUGGCGAUCGAACUCAGGACCUUGUGCUUGCGAGGCAGGUGUGGUGCCACUGAGCUAAAUCCCUGGCCCUAGAUACUUCUUAACCUAUCCAAAUGACCCAGAUACACUAAGUAACUGCCAGGAGGUGUUUAGGAGUUGAAAAAAACAAAGCUAAGCGAGUUGUCAGAGGAUCAACCAGCCAAUAAGUACUCAAGAAAAUCAGAAAAAAAUUGAAAGAAACAAAUAAAUGGGAGAAAGAAUUGCUCAGGAUUUAAAGCAGAAAAUAAAUGCUGAGUCAACUUUAACUGCUUUUGUGCAGCUUAUCCUGAUGAGAACCAACCUCAGAGUUUCCUGGGUCUUGGGUGGUAACGAGAAACAGCUGGUGGAUUGUGCAACUGGGAUUUAGAGGGUGGGAGGGACAGGAGUGAGGGUGUAACAUACUUUUCUGAUGUAGAAGCAGCAUUUGUUUGGCAGAAACUCAGCUGUUAUUAGAUCCAUCACAGAUCAUUGAGGCCAUUUAGUCCACUGUCUUCCAAAUUUUUCAAAGCAGUGAGCUCUUAAAUUGUUUUUCCACUAUAAGUCCCACAUUGCACAAAUGCUUUUUUCAAACCUUUAAUUAUUAAUAAUUUGUCUCCGUUUUAAACUAAAGAUUGCAAUUGGAGCAGCAUAUACUAUCCAUAGCAAAUUGACUUAAGUUGAACUAAAAGCCAAAAAACAAAGCAGAAUAAAAUACUAUAAUUUUAGCUAUGGCAUUUGCAAUUAAAUGAUUGUUUCAUUGAGAUUUUUAAGUAUUUGAAAUGUUCAAUGGCUUUCAGGUUUGGAGCUUUUGUAACCUGUCUGUUAAAAGGCCUAAAUUCAUUUCUCAGGUCCUUUGUCUUCAAAUCUUUCUCCGUUACUUAGGCACUGUGCAGUUUGCUUCGGUCACCAUGUGAAAAAUGGGGGUAUAAUAAUACUACUUCAGGGAGUUAUUCUGAGGAUCACCUGAGAUAAUGGCUAUCAAACAAUUUUUUUUUUUUUGGUACCAGUGAGACAGGUGCAGUGCCACUGAGCUAAAUUCCCAGCUCUCAAGCAGUUGGAAAAUACUAGUAAAUGUUAUUAUCCAUUAUUCAUUUUAAUAUUAUUUAGAGCUGUGCAGCUCAUGUUUUUGUAGAUUGUGGAUUCAAAGUUUGAUCCUUUUAUCUUUAAGAAUUGAUUUCAUAAACCAUAUUUAUCUUAAAGAUAAAAAAUAGUCUGCCUUGCAGCAAAAAGUUCCGUUUCAAUCCCUGCUACCAAAAAAAAAAUAGAGUUGAGCAAAAAAUGUACUAUAAUGGCAGUUGUGGAUGGAAGAGGAAUUAAAGAGCUGGCAUGUUUUGUGUUUUUUGUUGUCGUUGUUGGGUUUUUUUGUACUGAAGAUCCAACCUAGGACCUUGUGUGUUCUAGGCAAGCACUUUACCACUGGGAUACUCCUGCAGCCUGAGCUGGCAGAUUUUUAAAGCUUCCAUAUCAUAAAAAAAACAGCUGUUCUGCUUUCACUGAGCACAGGGUAUGAGGGGGAGUAGGUUACUGAUACACAGUAAUGAGCUGCUGCUGCUGUUCGAGGAGUCACCUUAUGUGGAAGUAAGGAGCUAGAAGGAAUAAAAUUAACAUAUUGGCAAAAUUUUUAAAAGUGAUUUUUGAUCUUACGUGUCUUUCAUAUAUUGCAUAUUAUUUCACAUAUUUCAUAAUUAGGAUCAAUAUCAAAAUGAAUGUACAUAAAUAAAACACUUUCAUGUUAGCCAUUGGUAUGCUAUUUCCAGUAUCUGGAUUCUGAAUCUUGGAGAGGUUGAUUUGUUGCUGUUUACCACUCUGCCAUCUUCUCAGAAGUUCUGGUAUGUUAUUUCAACACAGGAAGAAGACUAUUUCCCUUAGAAGUUAUAGUUUAGUCUUAUUUACUAAUUUUAGAAAACAAAUCUUUUAAGUACCAAUAUGAAGCCUUUGCCUCUCCCUGCCUCCUUUCAUCUUUACUUACUGCCAUCACCAGUUUGUUUCAGGUGAUGCUUUUGGUGGAGAAUUAAUAAAACAGUUAUUUGACAAAUAGUGGUACUUUUCUUAAUAAAAUCAUUUUUUAGCUGGUAUAGGACUGUAGAUUUAGUGCCAUGUAGAAGUAUGGGGAGAAAGCUGAAAAAUGUCAUACCAGUACAAUUUUUCACUUUAAAAUAAAAGCAUAGUUACCAUCUAUACCUUUGGUUCAGUCUUUUAGUGAAUCAAUUCUUUGGUUUUCUGCAAUACUUUUGUAGCCAGUAUAAAACUAUGAUAAAUCUGAUCCCUUUCUGAUUUUUACAGUUAAAAUAUUACAAACUGUAUUUACAGCAUCCAGUAAACUGGCACUGAAGUGAGCAGAUAAUGCGGGACAUUCAUGUGUCCUGAGUAAGCUCUCAGAGCUGGAAACCUGGGUUCAGGCUCUGGGCCUAUAUAUUCUUGACUGGAAAUCUUGGGCAGGUUACUUAAUUUCUGUUUCUUUGUGUCCUCAUUUGUAAGAUGGAAAUUUUAAAAAUCUAAUGUAAUUAGAUGUCAUUGUUUAUAUGCAUUUGAAUUUUAACAUUACUUGAAAAAUGUAUCAUCUUAACUAUGUUUGCAGUUUUUUACCAAGUCACGUAUUACAGUUAAAUUUUCACUUGGUAUGGAUAGUUCUAAAUAAUAUGAUCAGAUAUCUAGCCUCUCAGUGGAUUAUUUGCAUUUACCGUUGGUGAAAUCUUAAAAUAAGACUAAUUAAAAGCUAAUCUACUUAAUAGAAAUAUUUAAAAAUAGGUGCAAAGUAGGCUAUCUAAUGAGGCAUUAGAGUUCUUUGAGACAAAAUCAUUAAAAUAGGUAAAAAUGAUUUAUAAAUACAUGUAAAGCAUUUUAAAUGGUACAACUUCACCUAAAACGCA
ensembl:lncRNA